GAUGAACGCUGGCGGCGUGCCUAACACAUGCAAGUCGAGCGAACAGACGAGGAGCUUGCGCCUUGCACGUUAGCGGCACAGGGGUGAGUAACGUGUAUGUCACGCACCUAUCUGACUGGGAUCAUUUCGGGAAUCGGGAGCAAAUCGCGGAUAAUAUCCCGAACCGUAGUGUUCGAUAGAGAAUGAUGGCUUUGCUGGCUGUAAUAGCUGCAUAUGAGCCGUUUUAGAUAGUUGGUAAGGUCACAGCUUACCAAGGCGACGAUACGUAGCCGAGCUGAGAGGGGGAUCGGCCACACUGGAGCUGGAACACGGUCCUGACUCCUAAGGGAGGCAGCAGUAGGGAAUCUGCGGCAAUGGGCGAAAGCCUGACAGAGCAGCGCCGCGUGAGUGAUGAAGGCCUUCGGAUCGUAAAGCUCUGUUAUUGGGGAAAAACAGCUGUGUAAGUAACCGUGCAGGUCUUGACGGUACCUAAUCAAAAAGCAACGGCUAACUACGUG
rnacentral:rRNA from 1 species